UGUGUGUGUGUGUGUGUGUGUGUGUGUGUGUGUUUGGUCAUGGAUACUAAGAGUGGAGGCUCCACCUUCAGAUGCCAUCAAGGCAGCCAAGGCCCCUGGAAGUCCAGGAGGUAAAUGAAGCUUUUAAGCAGGGCGGAGGGAAGGGGGACCGCUGAAAAGAUUAAUUGACUUUCUGCAGAGCUUCACUUAUCCUCCACUGGCACCUUUGACUUGAUCUGAAAUUACUUUCGUACUCCCCAUUUUCUUCAUCCCUCGACGCUGAGCCAGGCCAGAAGACUGAACAGGCUCCAGGACAGGAGCAGGAGCGCAGCGCCUCAGAGCAGUGUAGGUGGCGGACAGCGCCCCCUAGUGGAAUAAAAAGAAAAUACAUUGUAUAACAUCAGUGUUAUAAUCUGGGGUUGGCGACCUUUACUAUCUAAAGAGCCAUUUUAAAGAUGUGUGGAGCUAA